rnacentral:rRNA from 1 species
AGUGAACGCUGGCGGUAGGCCUAACACAUGCAAGUCGAACGGCAGCACAGUAAGAGCUUGCUCUUACGGGUGGCGAGUGGCGGACGGGUGAGGAAUACAUCGGAAUCUACUUUUUCGUGGGGGAUAACGUAGGGAAACUUACGCUAAUACCGCAUACGACCUACGGGUGAAAGCAGGGGAUCUUCGGACCUUGCGCGAUUGAAUGAGCCGAUGUCGGAUUAGCUAGUUGGCGGGGUAAAGGCCCACCAAGGCGACGAUCCGUAGCUGGUCUGAGAGGAUGAUCAGCCACACUGGAACUGAGACACGGUCCAGACUCCUACGGAGGCAGCAGUGGGGAAUAUUGGACAAUGGGCGCAAGCCUGAUCCAGCCAUACCGCGUGGGUGAAGAAGGCCUUCGGGUUGUAAAGCCCUUUUGUUGGGAAAGAAAAGCAGCAGGUUAAUACCCCGCUGUUCUGACGGUACCCGAAGAAUAAGCACCGGCUAACUUCGUG